AAAAACAAUUAAACACAAAAGAAGAAUAUGAUUAGUUACAUUCUCUGGCUUAAUCCACUUUCCAGGUGUCAUCAUGACUUUAUUGGUGAUGAAAAUAUUCUGAAGUUAGAUUGUGGUGAAUAUACUUAGCAUGGAAAUGUACAUUUUAAAUGGAAACCUACCGGGAUCCAAUCAGGAGGCUCCUUCAUAUUCACUAAUCUUCUCCCAAAGGCCCCACA